AUUUUGGACAAUGGGGGAAACCCUGAUCCAGCCAUCCCGCGUGUAUUAUGAAGGCCUCCGUGUUGUAAAAUACUUUUGGCAGAGAAGAAAAGGUACCUCCUAAUACGAGUUACUGCCGAUGGUAUCUGCAUAAUAAGCAACAGCUAAUUGCGUGCCUGCAGCCGCGGUAAUACGUAGGGUGCAAGCGUUAAUCGGAAUUACUGGGCGUAAAGCGAGUGAAGGCGGGUAGGAAAGAAAGAUGUGAAAUACCAGGGCUCAACCUUGGAACUGCAUUUUUAACUGCCGAGCUAGAGUAUGUCAGAGGGGGGUAGAAUUCCACGUGUAGCAGUGAAAUGCGUAGAUAUGUGGAGGAAUACCGAUGGCGAAGGCAGCCCCCUGGGAUAAUACUGACGCUCAGACACGAAAGCGUGGGGAGCAAACAG
rnacentral:rRNA from 1 species